rnacentral:misc_RNA from 1 species
GAAAUGCAUUGAAGAAUGAAUACUCGAACUUGAAAUAUAGGGAAUCAGGAUUCUUACUAGCCACUGCAUUAAUUUCAGCUCUCUCUAUCUAAGCAGCAGUGGGUCCAUUCUCCUUCUCCUUCUGGCACUCCUCCCACUCUUUGAUCCACAGAUCCGCAAACUCGCAAUUCUUAUACUUCUCGAACCACGGCCCUCCCAGAGUGUAAU